rnacentral:rRNA from 1 species
AUUGAACGCUGGCGGAAUGCUUUACACAUGCAAGUCGAACGGCAGCACGGGGGCAGCCCUGGUGGCGAGUGGCGAACGGGUGAGUAAUACAUCGGAACGUGCCCGGUCGUGGGGGAUAACGUAGCGAAAGUUACGCUAAUACCGCAUACGAUCUGAGGAUGAAAGCGGGGGACCUUCGGGCCUCGCGCGAUCGGAGCGGCCGAUGUCAGAUUAGGUAGUUGGUGGGGUAAAGGCCUACCAAGCCGACGAUCUGUAGCUGGUCUGAGAGGACGACCAGCCACACUGGGGCUGAGACACGGCCCAGACUCCUACGGGAGGCAGCAGUGGGGAAUUUUGGACAAUGGGCGCAAGCCUGAUCCAGCCAUUCCGCGUGCAGGACGAAGGCCUUCGGGUUGUAAACUGCUUUUGUACGGAACGAAAAGGCUCUGGCUAAUACCUGGGGCUCAUGACGGUACCGUAAGAAUAAGCACCGGCUAACUACGUG